rnacentral:rRNA from 1 species
AUGGCAGUCACGGGUAACGGAGAAUUAGGGUUCGAUUCCGGAGAGGGAGCCUGAGAAACGGCUACCACAUCUACGGAAGGCAGCAGGAGCGAAAAUUGCCCAAUCCCGACACGGGGAGGCAGUGACGAGAAAUAACAACUCUUGGUUAUUCUAAGAAGUGUAAUGAGGAUAAUUUAAAACCCUUACCGAAAGCAAUUGGAGGGCAAGUCUGGUGCCAGCAGCCGCGGUAAUUCCAGCUCCAAUAGCGUAUAUUAAAGUUGUUGCAGUUAAAAAGCUCGUAGUUGAAGUUCUGGCUGCUUGACCCUCGAGCUCUGUAGCCGAGGGCUCAGCAGUCAUCCGCUUGCAAACAUAAUUUCGCCUUUAACCGGGCGGGUAUGUGAGUGAGCAUUUUACCUUGAGAAAAACAGAGUGUUCCAGGCAGGUUUGUCCGGAAUGCAUUAGCAUGGAAUAAUAGAAUAUGACUGAAGUCGAUUUAUUGGUUUGAGGCUUUAGUAAUGAUUAAUAGGAACAGUCGGGGGCAUUGGUACUUGUCAGUCAGAGGUGAAAUUCUAGGAUUUGACAAAGACUAACAAAUGCGAAAGCAUUUGCCAAGGAUGUUUUCAUUAAUCAAGAACGAAAGUUAGGGGAUCAAAGACGAUCAGAUACCGUCCUAGUCUUAACUAUAAACUAUACCGACUCGGAUUCAGAUGAAUCAUAAAGUUCAUUUGGGACCGUAGGAGAAAUCAAAGUUUUUGGGUUCUGGGGGAAGUAUGGUCGCAAGGCUGAAACUUAAAGGAAUUGACGGUUUUGCACCACCAUGGAGUGGAGUCUGCGGCUUAAUUUGACCCAACACUGGGAAACUCAUCAGGGCAAGAAGAUUGUAGGAUUGACAGAUUGAGAGUUCUUUCUUGAUUGGUCUAGUGGUGGUGCAUGGCCGUUCUUAGUUGGUGGAGUGAUUUGUCUGGUUAAUUCCGUUAACGAACGAGACCUUAACCUGCUAACUAGUACACUGAUGACAAAUCAGUGCUACUUCUUAGAGGGACUAUGUGAUGUAAUCACAUGGAAGUUUGAGGCAAUAACAGGUCUGUGAUGCCCUUAGAUGUCCUGAGCUGCACGCGUACUACAAUGGUGCUUUCAACGAGCUUUUCCUGAUCCGAAAGGAUUUGGGUAAUCUUUUUAGUGAGCACCGUGCUUGGGAUAGAUCUUUGUAAUUAUGGAUCUUGAACUAGGAAUUCCUAGUAAGCACGUGUCAUCAGCA